UAAGGGAUAUUGCACAAUGGGCGAAAGCCUGAUGCAGCAACGCCGCGUGGAGGAAGAAGGCCUUCGGGUCGUAAACUCCUUUUCUCACUGACGAGGAAGGACGGUAGGUGAGGAAUAAGUCACGGCUAACUACGUGCCAGCAGCCGCGGUAAAACGUAGGUGGCAAGCGUUAUCCGGAUUUACUGGGCGUAAAGGGUGUGCAGGCGGGCGGUCAAGUGGUGUAUGAAAUAUCCUGGCUCAACCAGGAGAGGUUAUGCCAGACUGACCGUCUUGAGUGCGAGAGAGGGGCGUGGAAUUCCGGGUGUAGUGGUGAAAUGCGUAGAGAUCCGGAGGAACCCCAGAGGCGAAGGCGGCGCCCUGGCUCGCAACUGACGCUCAUACACGACAGCAUGGGGAGCGAACGGGAUUAGAUACCCCCGUAGUCC
rnacentral:rRNA from 1 species